UACGGAGGGUGCAAGCGUUAUCCGGAUUCACUGGGUUUAAAGGGUGCGUAGGUGGGCUGGUAAGUCAGUGGUGAAAUCUCCAGGCUUAACUUGGAAACUGCCAUUGAUACUAUUAGUCUUGAAUACCGUGGAGGUCAGCGGAAUAUGUCAUGUAGCGGUGAAAUGCUUAGAUAUGACAUAGAACACCAAUUGCGAAGGCAGCUGGCUACACGAAAUAUUGACACUGAUGCACGAAAGCGUGGGGAUCAAACA
rnacentral:rRNA from 1 species